rnacentral:rRNA from 1 species
UACGGGGGGGGCAAGCGUUGUUCGGAAUUACUGGGCGUAAAGGGCUCGUAGGCGGCCAACUAAGUCAGACGUGAAAUCCCUCGGCUUAACCGGGGAACUGCGUCUGAUACUGGAUGGCUUGAGGUUGGGGAGAGGGAUGCGGAAUUCCAGGUGUAGCGGUGAAAUGCGUAGAGAUCGGGAGGAACAUCAGUGGCGAAGGCGAUCACCUGGGGAUGUUCUGACGCUGAGGAGCGAAAGCUAGGGGAGCAAACGGGG